rnacentral:rRNA from 1 species
AUGAAUCUGUUUGUGUGGAACUGUCGCGGGCUUGGGAACCCGGAGACAGUUCGAGAGCUCCACCAUCUGGUGAGAGUGGAAGCGCGCGCCUUGGUCUUUGUCUCUGAAACAAAGAUCGAGGGUUCUAGAGUGGCAGACUUGACUAAACGGUUGGGUUGUGCCGGGUGUGUGCCCGUAAGCAGUUCUGGCUUAAGUGGUGGAUUGGCCUUAUUUUGGUCACAUGAA